GACGAACGCUGGCGGCGUGCUUAACACAUGCAAGUCGAACGGAAAGGCCCUGCUUGCAGGGUACUCGAGUGGCGAACGGGUGAGUAGCACGUGGGUGAUCUGCCCUGCACUUCGGGAUAAGCCUGGGAAACUGGGUCUAAUACCGGAUAGGAGCCAUUUUUAGUGUGAUGGUUGGAAAGUUUUUUCGGUGUAGGAUGAGCUCGCGGCCUAUCAGCUUGUUGGUGGGGUAAUGGCCUACCAAGGCGGCGACGGGUAGCCGGCCUGAGAGGGUGGACGGCCACAUUGGGACUGCGAUACGGCCCAGCCUCCUACGGGAGGCAGCAGUGGGGAGUAUUGCACAAUGGGCGCAAGCCUGAUGCAGCGACGCCGCGUGGGGGAUGACGGCCUUCGGGUUGUAAACUCCUUUCGCUAGGGACGAAGCUUUUGUGACGGUACCUAGAUAAGAAGCACCGGCUAACUACGUG
rnacentral:rRNA from 1 species